rnacentral:lncRNA from 1 species
UACUUCCUCUUUUCCUCACAUUUUCUCCUCCCACUCUCUCCCCCUCUUUCUCUUCUUCUUCUUUGCUUCUUUAGUUUCUAGGCUUUUUUAUAACCCUUUAGGUAAAUACCGGUGGCUUUUGGGGGAAAUAGUGGUCCAUUAAGUUAGGGAAAAAGACAUCACCCCUUGAGAUAAAAUUAGGUUUGUUUCCUUUUACUCCUAAAAUCUUUUUACCGUGGGUAAAAAGAAGCAAUAUGGGGGGGUACAAAAGGAACCAAAUUUAAGUUUAAUUCAAGGGGUCUUGGGUCUUGAUGUCAUUUUCCCCAACAGGACGAGUCACUAUUUUCCCCAAGAACUAUUGGCAUAUACCGAAGAGGGUAAAAUAUAUGUAUUAUAUAUUGUAA